UCUGAAGAGUUCUAAUUUAAAGUUAUGAAACUCUAUUUUCAAAACACGAUUUUGAAAAUAUGUUUUUGAAGUAUAGUUUUGUGCGAGCUCCUAACGAGCAUUUGGUUAUAAGAAUGUUUUGAAAGAACGAUUUUAAACUGUGUUUUUUUAAGGCACUUAACGUGCGAGUUUUUUUAUAACCAAAUGUUUAGCUUUGCUUUAUGCGAGCUCUCUAUUUGGCUUAGCCUUAGUGCGAGCUUUUUGUUCUGUGAGCUCCUUAGUGAGCCUUCUGAUUUGGUAUACCAAGGAUUGAAAGUAGAUUGCGGAUGGCAUAGGCGAGGUCGAUGAUCUGGCGAGGCACUUGACUAAUACUGGCGAACCAUAGAGAUAGGCGAUGGUUAAUGUUUUGAGUAAUAAAUUAGAUUGUGGAUUUAAUUACAUGAACAAUUUGUUUAAGGAUGAGUUUAGUACGUUUUAUGUUUAAGUUAAUUUCUUUCUUGUGAACCAUGUCUUGAAUUUCAUAUGUUCUAUUCCUUUAUUAAUAAAUCGAUGUUAUUCAUGCAUGA